rnacentral:rRNA from 1 species
CGACGGGUGAGUAACGCGUGGAAAACCUGCCGUAUACUGGGGGAUAACACUUAGAAAUAGGUGCUAAUACCGCAUAAGCGCACAGCUUCGCAUGAAGCGGUGUGAAAAACUCUGGUGGUAUACGAUGGUUCCGCGUCUGAUUAGCUAGUUGGUGGGGUAAUGGCCUACCAAGGCAACGAUCAGUAGCCGGCCUGAGAGGGUGAACGGCCACAUUGGGACUGAGACACGGCCCAAACUCCUACGGAAGGCAGCAG